rnacentral:rRNA from 1 species
UACGUAGGGUGCAAGCGUUGUCCGGAAUUAUUGGGCGUAAAGAGCUCGUAGGCGGUCUGUCGCGUCUGCUGUGAAAACUCAGGGCUUAACCCUGAGCUUGCAGUGGGUACGGGCAGACUAGAGUGCGGUAGGGGAGACUGGAAUUCCUGGUGUAGCGGUGAAAUGCGCAGAUAUCAGGAGGAACACCGGUGGCGAAGGCGGCAUCCUGGACCGAGAUUGACGCUGAUGCGCGAAAGCCAGGGGAGCAAACGGG